ensembl:snRNA U6 U6 spliceosomal RNA
GUUCUUGCUUUGGCAGUACACAUAUUGUUGGAAAGAUACAGAGAAUAUUAGCAUGGUCCCUGCACAUGGAUGAUACACAAACUGGUGAAGUACUCCAUAUCAAG